AACGGCGAGCGAACGGGGAACAGCCCAUCGCCAGAUCCGCCGCCUCCCCGGCGGAACGGACAUGUGGCGUAUGGGAGAGACGCUUCCGGACACCGGCAGCCGGUGCAAGUCCCCCUGACUGGGGCUCCUACCCCGAGAGGGUGCAAGGCCCGUAGCGGCCGGAGGUCGGUUCCGGAUGUCCUCUCCUGGGAGUCGGGUUGCUUGGGAUUGCAGCCCUAAUCAGGUGGUAAACUCCAUCUAAGGCUAAAUACGACCUGGAGACCGAUAGCGAACAAGUACCGUGAGGGAAAGUUGAAAAGGACUUUGAAGAGAGAGUUCAAGAGUACGUGAAACCGUUCGGAGGUAAACGAGUGGGCCCUCGAAGUACGAAGGCGGGGGGACUCAGCCGAGCGCAGCCGCUUGGCGGGACUCGAGCGUUUCCCUACCAGGACGCGGAGCCCCGCCGUCUAGCGGAGGUGCCCGGCGCAUUUCUUCCCGUCCUCCGACGCUGCGACCGGUCGGGUGCGCCAAGAGCAGUCGGCCUUACUCGCAGGAAACGGUAGGUAACCGGUAGCUCCGUCCCCCCCGGGGGGCGGUCGCGUCCGGUGUUUAGCCGUCCUGCAAUCGAGACGCCGUUCACCCGACCGCAGGACUCGGCCCCCAGGGGCCUCGCCGCGCCCUUCCCUCGUGGAAUCGGCUUUCGCGCUCCGGAAGGGAGGCCGUCGUAUUUCAUUCCCGCCGACUCACCCUUGCGUGACCGGCGGGCGACGGUGCCCGUUGGCCGGAGCGUUUCCGAGCGGGCGGCAGGCGGUCAGCAGCGAGUAGGUCGGUCACCCACUCGACCCGUCUUGAAACACGGACCAAGGAGUUUAACAUGCGCGCGAGUCAUUGGGACGUGACCAGGCCCAAAGGCGCAAUGAAAGUGAAGGGCGGCUUUAUCGCCGUCCGCGUUGGGAUCCGCCGGCCUCGGCCGGGGGCGCACCAACGGCUCGUCCGAGCCGCCACGUCGGCCGGGCGAAGCUAGAGCGCGCACGUUGAGACCCGAAAGAUGGUGAACUAUGGCUGGGCAGGACGAAGCCAGAGGAAACUCUGGUGGAGGUCCGCAGCGGUUCUGACGUGCAAAUCGAUCGUCAGACCUGGCUAUAGGGGCGAAAGACUAAUCGAACCAUCUAGUAGCUGGUUCCCUCCGAAGUUUCCCUCAGGAUAGCUGGCGCUCGGAAGGAAGCAGUCUCAUCCGGUAAAGCGAAUGAUUAGAGGCCUUGGGGCCGAAAAGACCUCAACCUAUUCUCAAACUUUCAAUGGGUGAGAAGUCCGGUUUGCUCGAUUGAAGCCUGGACAUUCUUGGAUGCGAGUGCCAAGUGGGCCACUUUUGGUAAGCAGAACUGGCGCUGUGGGAUGAACCAAACGACGGGUUAAGGGGCCCGAUGCAGGACGCUCAUGAGAACCCAUGAAAGGUGUUGGUUGCUAUAGACAGCAGGACGGUGGCCAUGGAAGUCGGAAUCCGCUAAGGAGUGUGUAACAACUCACCUGCCGAAGCAACUAGCCCUGAAAAUGGAUGGCGCUUCAGCGUCGACCCCAUACCCGUCCGCCGCGGCGGAGAUGCGAUCGCAUUAUGCCGCGGUGAGUAGGAGGGCGCGCGGGCGCGCGUGGAAGGUGCCGGGCGUAAGCCCGCCUGGAGCCGCCCGCGGUGCAGAUCUUGGUGGUAGUAGCAAAUACUCAAGUGAGAACCUUGAGGACUGAGGUGGAGAAGGGUUCCAUGUGAACAGCAGUUGAACAUGGGUCAGUCGGUCCUAAGGGAUGUCCGAAAGGAUUUCCGAAGGGGGGAUCUUGACACGGAGUACCCCUCCGCGACCGAAAGGGAAUCGGGUUAAUAUUCCCGAACCCGGACACGGAGAUCGGCUCCCUAGGGAGCAUUUGCGGUAACGCAAACGACCUCGGAGACGUCGACGGGGGUCCCGGGAAGAGUUGUCUUUUCUUUGUAAGGGUUCGGCUCCCUGGAAUCGGCUCGCCCGGAGAUAGGGAUGCUGAACCCGUAAAGCACCGCGCCUCUUGUGGUGUCCGGAGCGCUCCCGUCGGCCCUUGAAAAUCCGAGCGAGAGGUGGUGAUUUUCGUGCCGGCCCGUACCCAUAUCCGCAGC
rnacentral:rRNA from 1 species